rnacentral:rRNA from 1 species
UACGGAGGGGACUAGCGUUGUUCGGAAUUACUGGGCGUAAAGCGCGCGUAGGCGGAUUUGCAAGUCGGGGGGUGAAAUCCCGGGGCUCAACCUCGGAACUGCCUUUGAUACAGCAUAUCUUGAGUCCGAUAGAGGUGGGUGGAAUUCCUAGUGUAGAGGUGAAAUUCGUAGAUAUUAGGAAGAACACCGGUGGCGAAGGCGGCCCACUGGAUCGGUACUGACGCUGAGGUGCGAAAGCGUGGGGAGCAAACAGG